AGGAGACUGAGGUAUAAGAAUCACUUGAACCUGAGAGGUGAAGGUUACAUUGAGCCGAGAUCGUGCCACUGUACUCCAGCCUGGGUGACAGAGCGAGACCGUGUCUCAAAAAAAAAAAAAAAAAAAAAAAAAAGUCAGAAUAAACUUGCUUAAUAAAAUUUCCAUGCCUUAAGCAUUAGAACAAUCAUCUAAAUCUGCAGUGACAUUUUAAGUGCCAAAUCUUUCUCCUAGCUAUAACACUAAGAGGUCUCAAUAUCGCUUAAUCAGAAAAAAAGGAAAGAUAUCAUAGCUAAGAAAGAGAAAAAAAUGAAUGGAAUACAGGAAGCUCCUUCACUUCUGAAUUAGUCGUGAAGGUAGUCACAAUCUGGAGUUCAGUUUUUUUGUAUCAGGCACUUUUUCCUUAGUGAAUUUUAUUGGGUUAAAACAAAUCACAGUAUCAAAGAGACACAAAAUAAAAUGUGGGUAAAUCAACCAUCAAGGAAACAAUUAGGAAGCUCAAUUGCAGGGGUCCAGAUGAAGACAAGAGAGACAGAUGAAGAUAGACAGCUUAGACUAGGAUAGCAAACGUGAAAAUGAGGAGGAAUAGAUGGAUUUGGACUAUAUUUUGGAAGUCUACUAAAGCCUGGAGAUGAAAUACCUGAUCCUUAUUGCUGUUUCCAGAUAUUUCACCCUCUCACAUUCCUAAAAACCUAUAGCUUUUACUCUCAGGUCACUAGAAUAUACCACCUACUAUCUCUUGUUGCAUUGUCAAUUUAUCAGCUCCCCCAAAGUCACUCCUGCUUUCUCAAAAAUACUGGUUUCUGGCUCACUGUCUGUCCAACUCCAUUCCUGUCUUAAUUCUUGGCUUUUUCAGUGUAUAUGUAAAUGGUCCUUCCAACACCCUCACCUCUCUGUUCCUUCAACUCAUAUCCAGUGAUCGUGUCCUAUACUCCUCAGCUAUUCACUUCCAUGAUCAUAUAACUUUGCCAUUGUGAAACCCUCCUUAAUCUCAUUCUUUGACCUCUACCUCUUAUCUUUCCACUCCCUCUAAUACUGUGACUCCAGCAAUCCUUC
rnacentral:lncRNA from 1 species